ACUCUUUUAUUUAAAUAAUUUUUUAAAAUGUUACGUUCGUCAAAUCACUGACUUUCGUAUUAAUAGAAUUUGCUUCUAGUUUUGUUCAUAGCUAUAUAGAUUUUCUAUUUGAAACUAGCACAAAUUAAGUAUGAUCCUAACUUUCUUUUGUUUUGCUUUAAUUGGAGUACUAUGUCAGACUACAGAAAGUCGUCCUGACUACUGCACUAUGCUCCCAGACGGAGGUCCGUGCGAGGCCUACAUUCCCAGUUAUUAUUUUGACGUCUCUUCUAACUCGUGCAAGCAGUUUGUUUUUGGUGGUUGCCUUGGAAACCCAAACAGGUUUUCAAACGAGGCCCUAUGCUUGCAGACGUGUCAAUAACAAAUCUAAAGAACCGAUUGACAGA
rnacentral:sRNA from 1 species